rnacentral:rRNA from 1 species
CCUACGGGAGGCAGCAGUCGGGAAUAUUGGACAAUGGGGGCAACCCUGAUCCCAGCAAUACCGCGUGUGUGAAGAAGGCCUGCGGGUUGUAAAGCACUUUUAGUAGGGAAGAUAAUGCCGUUACCUACAGAAAAAGCACCGGCUAACUCCGUGCCAGCAGCCGCCGGUAAU